UACAGAGGGGGCAAGCGUUGUUCGGAAUUACUGGGCGUAAAGGGCGCGUAGGCGGCCUUCUAAGUCGGAUGUGAAAUCCCCAGGCUCAACCUGGGAACUGCAUCCGAUACUGGAUGGCUUGAAUCCGGGAGAGGGAUGCAGAAUUCCAGGUGUAGCGGUGAAAUGCGUAGAUAUCUGGAGGAAUACCGGUGGCGAAGGCGGCAUCCUGGACCGGCAUUGACGCUGAGGAGCGAAAGCUAGGGGAGCAAACGGG
rnacentral:rRNA from 1 species